CCUACGGGCGGCAGCAGUGAGGAAUAUUGGUCAAUGGGCGAGAGCCUGAACCAGCCAAGUCGCGUGAGGGAGGACUGCCCUAUGGGUUGUAAACCUCUUUUGUCGGGGAGCAAAAGCCGGAAGUUUUCGCCUGUGAGAUUACCCGAACAAAAAGCAUCGGCUAACUCCGUGCCCGCAGCCGCGGUAAUCCGGAGGAUGCGGGCGUUAUCCGGAUUUUUUUGGUUUUAAGGGUUCGCGGGCGGAUUGUUAGGUCAGUGGGAAAAUCGUGGGGUUCAACCCCAUACAGCCGGUGAUACUGGGGAUCUAGAGUGUGGGAGAGGUAAGCGGAAUGCGUGGUGUAGCGGUGAAAUGCAUAGAGAUCACGAAGAACCCCGAUUGCGAAGGCAGCCUACCGGAGCACAACUGACGCUCAGGCGCGAAAGCGUGGGUAUCUAACAGGAUUAGAUACCCGUGUAGUC
rnacentral:rRNA from 1 species